UACGGAGGAUGCAAGCGUUAUCCGGAAUUAUUGGGCGUAAAGCGUCCGCAGGUGGCACUUCAAGUCUGCUGUCAAAGACCGGGGCUUAACCCUGGAAAGGCAGUGGAAACUGAAGCGCUAGAGUGUGGCAGGGGUAGAGGGAAUUCCCGGUGUAGCGGUGAAAUGCGUAGAUAUCUGGAGGAAUACCGGUGGCGAAGGGCGGCAUCCUGGACCGGAAUUGACACUGAGGAGCGAAAGCCAGGGGAGCAAACGGG
rnacentral:rRNA from 1 species